CUUUUUUUUUUCUUUUUUUUUUUUUUUCUUUUUAGGGCCACCCAUGGCACAUGGAAGUUCCCAGGCUAGGGGUCAAAUCAGAGCUAUAGCUGCCGGCCUACACCACAGCCACAGCAAUGCAGGAUCUGAGCCACGUCUGUGACCUACGCCACACCUCAUGGCAACAUCUGAUCCCCGACCCACUGAGCAAGGCCAGGGAUCAAACACCCUUCCUCAUGGAUACUAGUCAGAUUUGUUCCCACUGAGCCACAAUGGGAACUCUGUUUGGUCUUAAUAAUCAGGAAGGUAUAGGUUCAAAUCCCAACUGAACCAAAUGCUAGCUGGGUGUCCUUGGGUAUGUUAAUUAACCUUUCUGACCCUCAUAUUCUUAUGUGCAUUUAUAAAUUAUUUUUAUAUAUAAAUAUACAUAAUCUGGUAUUUAGAAAGUAUUAUAUAUGUAUACAUUAUAAAUUUAUAUAUAGAUAUAAUUUAUACAUGUUAGAUAUAUACAUAUUGUAUAUGUAUAAAUUAUACCUCACAGAGCAUGCACUUUUUAAAAUGUAUUUUCCAAGAUUAUUUAAUAGCGUGAGAAAAUGCUCAUUAACAACAUUAAAAGGAAAAAAGUAAAUGGCAAAUACUAACGCAAUUCUGAUUUUGUACAAAGAAUAUAUAUAUUUUGACUCUAUGUGCACAUAUACAUAUGAAAGAAAAUACAUAAAAAUAUUAACAAUGGUUAUUUUCAUGGUGGGAAUUCGGAUGAUUUAAUUUUUAAAUAUACUUUCAUAUUUUCCAAAUUGCCUACAAUGAACAUGACAUACUUUGAAAUAUUUUUCUAGAUUUGCAUUUUUAUUGCAAAAGUGAUCCAUGUUCAGGGUAGAAAAUUAAACUUUGUUACUAUUGGGAACAGCUUGUUAAUGAGUCCUUUCAGAUGUUUUUCUAUGCCUAUCUAAAUACCUACAUAUAGGGCAUGAGCUUCACAAGCCACAAAUUCAGGUAUGCAAAAGCGGGCAGCUUUAGUUUUCUGUAACUGAAUGUUUUUUCUGUCUCAAACCCUCCCCCUUUCUACCUAGUGGCAGAAAAUUCACUGUGAGCAGUGGAGAGUAAGCUCCGGCAAACAAUGUUUUUCUCUGUGGAUUUAACUCAUCCAUACAUUCUUCUCCCUGGACUUGCACCUUUAUCCUGGGGGGCUGCCAAAGUAUCCAGAUGUGUGUGGGGUGUCUGAUGCUCACCUAUCAUUUGAUCUUGCUAAUGUAACUGGCUGAGGUAGACUUUUUUUCCUGGCCUUGGCCCACAGGAUCUUGAACAGACUCAAAGGUGUCAAGUUUCCCGAACCUACUUACCAACUGCGCUGAAUACUUGGGGCACCCCUUUGUCAACUGGGAGCCCUCCUGUGGUCCAACAGCCUUGGGCUCUCCAUUUCUCAAAGCUCCUCUCAAGGGGCCAUACGGGAAACUUCUGGAUGCCCUUCCACUCAUCCCUAGGAGGGACUUUCUCAGGCUCUGAGAGAAUUUCUCCUCUUCUGACGCUGCAGGCCAGGCUCAGGGGAUAUUCGGAGGACCGCCACCUCCACUGAGCUCGGGCGCGUUCUCACAUCAUCAACCACCUGGACCUCUGACCCAAACCUCCCUUCUUCAGCCAGGGAGCGCCCCCAAGUCCUUCUCAGCCUCCCUCCUACACUACCAGGUCACUCUCCACUCAUUCUCUCCUCUCUGGGACUGUGUGAUCUUUAACUCCUCUGUGUGAGUCCAACAGUGUGCUUAGGGAUCUGAGCUUUAUGACAGAAACCUGAUGUUGGGAGCCCUCUGCCUUAGCCUGGACACUACACAAGUCUUCUUUUCUAACCAGCAUCUCUAUUUUGAAGUAUAAAAGUCUUCUUUAAAAUUCCAAAGUUGGGAGUUCCCAUCGUGGCUCAGUGGUAAUGACCCCAAUUUGUAUCAACGAUGCAGGUUGGAUCUCUGGCCUUGCUCAUGGGUUAAGAAUCCAGCGUUGCUGUAAGCUGUGGUGUAGGUCACAGACACAGGUUGGAUCCUGCGUUUGCUGUGACUGUGGAGUAUGCUGGCAGCUGUAGCUCCAAUUGAACCCCUAGACAGGGAACUUCCAUGUACCGCCAGUGUGGCCCUAAAAAAAGGCAAAAAAAAAAAGCAAUUCCAUGUAAAAAUGAUACUUUACUUAAUAAAUAAAUGUAAUAAAAAUGCUUGAGUAAGUUAUAUCAGAGUAAGUUAUAUCAGAAUAUACAUAAUGUCUUAUAUCAUCAGAAUAAAGAUAUGUAAGCCAGAUCAUUUUUAAUGCAAUAAAAGAUGCCACAAACAAAGCCAAGAGAUAAAUGAAAGAUUAGAAAAUAUCUUUACAAGUAUAUGACAAGAAACUGGUUCAUAUCACUAAACAAUGAACUCCUUUAGAACUAAUUUUUAAUUUUUUUAGUAAUUUAGAUGUUAUAUCAUUAUUUUGUCUUUUUAGGGCUGUACCCAUG
rnacentral:lncRNA from 1 species